AGUAUCUGACCUUUGUCCUUGGAAGCCAGUUCCAACCACCAAUCCCCCAUUAGGUUCUGACAAACACACUUGUGAAACAGGUCCAUAAAACCGUCUCAAGCAGAGACCCGUCCAGUGUUUCUUUGCCUGAGUUUCGCAGAGUUUGUGUCAAAGCUAGGGUGAGAUUCCUUCUUGGAUUUGUGAUUGAUUACACACGUCUAGCAGCGGGAAAUGAAAUCACCAGCAGCCUUAAUCUAAAUAAGGGUGGGAAGAUGUGGUUUCUGGAAAGACGGCCUGUAAGAAUUGAAAAUGAGGGAGCAGCGUUUUUAGUGGAAUGUGGUUAUUUCAGAAUGUGAAAGUAUAGGUCUUUAUAACCAAAGAAGGUAGACCCCACUGAUAUAAUGAUGGAUCCCAAACACAUUGUCUUCCGUCCCAUUCAGAAUUAUAGCAUUCGUACAAUUCCUACUAACUCAGAUAAUAAAUAAUUCUCUCAUAAUUGAUAGAAGUUAACAUCAGAUAUCCUAACAUAUUCUCAGUCCAAGCUCUUCCAAUACCGACGCUUGUUCAGUGGCCCUGAGCUUCAAGCUAUGACAAGCUAGGUUCCCCUCUAGCUCCAGUUCUGGAUGUGUCAGGGACAGUGUGUCAGUUUCAUCUCGUUACACCAAAAGUGUCUUUUCAAAACAAACUUCCCUCUUCACAAGAAGUUAGAUUUAGGUAGUAAUUGACGUUAAUCUCACUGACUAACGACUCACGUGACGAACGAAUGACUUACGAGUCACGUGACAAAAUCAGUCAACACUGGCUUUUUAUUUUGACACGUAGAGCGGUCCCCUGAGUGAACGUCUUGUGUUUGUUUGACCCGUCCACCACCCAUCCCGCCCACUCUAAAAAGGACUCUCGGUUGCUCUAAGCGUCUCAUAAUGACGUGGAUGGGUUUCUAUUGGAGUCAGUUGAAAGCCUGGUGGAAUUGGGAGUGAGACCGGGUUGGAUACCUGCCUUCAUCUGAUCCAUUGUAAAACUAUAUCAAGACAAAUGUGAUCUCAUGGGUGUCUUUUCCACAGGCAGUACUUCUACUGGUGGCGAGUAGAGGCUGGUGUGACUGCGCUCAGUUGUGUGUGUGUGUGUGUGUGUGUGUGUGUGUGUGUGUGUGUGUGUGUGUGGUUGGCCUGAGUCAAGGUCCAGCUGAGGCCCAUUAAGACUGUAAAUAUGCCUCAGACACCUUAACAUUGCCCUGCUAAGGACCUGCAUAAAUCAUUUUCAUAGCAGUGUUUUUGUCAGCGCAAGGCCUCGUGUGUGUGUGUGUGUGUGUGUGUGUGUGUGUGUGUGUGUGUGUGUGUUUGUCAGUACAGUAAAAAAACGCCUACAUUUUCUGGCAAGAAACCAUGUUUUGGAACGGACAGCAUCGGUGCAGGAGCAAUCUCUAAAACCUCAUUCAGCUCAUGUGUUGCACCACAGUCCACUCUAUUCGUCUCAUGGCUAUAAAACCGACUUUAGAGAAGGUUGUAUUUUGUGGUCACAGCAAAUAAUCACGUUAGGCGCUUUGUAAAGCCCCCCCAGAUUUAUUCCAAAGCCUUGAUUUAAAUCACAAACUUGGACAGAACUUCAAAGAGCCCAGAUGAAGCCUAAUAGUAGUUAAAGGCUUAAAGAAUAUACCACAUACUAAUGACAGAGAUACCAGCACAUCUGAUAUUUCAGUACCGAAAACAGUUGAAUCUAUGUCCAGGCUCAGGGAGGUUGGACGGGUCAAACAAACAGGACUUUAACCCAGUAGACUGCUGUAGAACCAAGUUUAACUUCCGUACUACAAAUGCAAGUUAAAUAACAAAUGUGCUUAUUUUAGCAACAACCACAAUCUUGUACGUUGGAGGUUUAUUUUGAAAAGAGACUCUAUGCUUGUAAUGAGCAGAAACUAUAUGUUUUUUGUGACAAUGUGUUGUUUGGGUAGAAGAUUGACAGUUCAUAUUUUACUAAGACAUCAACAUGAACCGUUCUAACAUCUGAUUGGACAGAUGCAGCACUCACAGGUCGGUCUUUGCUUUAAACAGGCUUUCCAGGAGGUAAUAUCAAAUACUUCCUCAACUAAAAAUAGGUUUCUGAUCAAAUAUUAGCUGCUGAAUUCACCAUACAGUUACAAAACCAUGCUGCUGUGGAUGUGGAUGACUCUCGUCAGCUACUGUUGAGUUAAUUAGUUUCUUGAGGCCAUGUAUUUUGCAGCCAUUUGCACUGCCUUCAACACUGAGUGGUGACAUCUGAGCAAAGACAGACAAUAGUCAGUAAGAGCUGAGCACCACAGGAAAGCAUGCCACUGUACUGUAGUGCAGUGGUGUUAUGGUGUUUCAACAUAUGGCUCUAAACUGUCUGUAAGCUGAUGCACUAGUUGUUGUUCUGUUAGAGCAGCCUCUCCGGGUGUUUGCUGCCCUUAGUGGUUGAUACAUGUGUUGUUUAAACAGCAAAGUAAGGAAACCUCCGCUGUCGCUAAACCAGAACAAAUCUUUCUUAAAAACACGUCUGUAGAGUGUGAAAGAUGGUCAUUGUUUCACUACGUCGUGUCAUUAUGUGUGAUAGUAGGCUGAUAUGAGACAUAUUAAUGAAACUUAUUUGUUAUUUAGAAAUGACGAUAUACAAAAUCUCGUGUUUCCAGAAACAUACAAUGCCAACAUUUUUUUCUGACGACCGGGUUUAUCAAAGAAACUGUAAGAAAAUUGCUAUCGUGGUACAAAAGAAGAUUUCUGUGUUUGCAUUGGCUUUCAUUCCAGGAAAUUGAGCUGUGAAUAUGUAUGAUAAAGUUGAUCUCCAAAAAAAUCUCGAAAAAGGAAAGUUGUGGGAGAUGUCCAUAAUGUAUGUUGUGAGAUUAUUAUCAAGUGGCUGUCUCCAAAUGCUGUCAAAAGUAUGUUGACACUCUUCUCAGCAAUGCACUGUGGACUACUUGGUUACGUUAGGAAAAGAUAAUAGUUUGGGUUAAAACAACUAUGGAAAUGGCGUUAAGUACGGAAGAUACGUGACAAACGUGGCGUCCUGUGUGAGAGUCCUGUGUUUCAGACGCACCCAUCCGUCCUAACCUCCCUGUGCUGACCUUAUCACUCUCUACACUACAUCAUCUGUGCUGGUUCAAGAUUAUGGAGACAAAGGAAACAUGGGGAUUCGUGGGAGAAUGGGCUUAAAAGGACAAGCAGGGGAGAAGGGAGCACCAGGCGAGCCAGGUCUGUCUAUCAUUGGUCCAAGAGGACCUCCGGGACAACCUGGGACAAGAGGAUUUCCAGGCUUUCCAGGUCCAAUUGGGCUGGAUGGCAAGUCUGGACAGAACGGACCGAAGGGAGACAUGGGUCAGCGUGGUGUUAAAGGACUCCAAGGGGAACAUGGACCCAGAGGGGAGAAGGGCGUAUGUGGAGACUACACACACCGGGGCCUCUUUGUGAAGGAUCUCCCUCUGAAAUCCCUGGCUGCCUUGCGCUCCAGUCAGGCUCUGAUGUUGAAGAUGUUGCCCAUCACCGUACGCAACAUGCCCUCAAUAAGCCCUCUAAUCCUAAAACGCCUCAAGCAGGGUGAGCCUGGAGCGCAGGGACCCCCGGGACCUCCAGGACCCCCCGGACUCCCAGGGACCUCCGGCCUGAAUGGAGCCAGUGGCCCAGUGGGUAAGCCUGGUGAACCAGGAAAACCAGGAAAAGACCCAAGGCUCUUACCGGGACUGAAGGGGGAGCCAGGUGUGAAGGGACUAAAGGGGGAUCAAGGUGAUGUUGGCCCACUAGGCCCUGAAGGCUCAAAGGGAAUUACCGGAGACCAAGGAAUUAAGGGAGAUGAAGGAAAGAGGGGUUUCCCUGGAGAGAGGGGAGGGAAGGGAGGGCCAGGUUUCCCGGGCGCUUCUGGGUUAAAGGGCCAGGCUGGCCACCCAGGUACCCCUGGCAUCCCAGGCAAGAGGGGCUACAGGGGUGAGAGGGGAGAAGCGAGCUUUGUAGCCCAGGGAAUUAAAGGAGAACCUGGUUCACCAGGACUGCCAGGCCUAAUGGGAAUAAAGGGUGACACGGGUGAUAAGGGAGACACGGGGGAAGCAGGCCCUGAUGGCCCAGCUGGACCAAGAGGUCCUCCAGGCCCAACUGGGGAGCCAGGAAAGGCUGAAAUCCACAACAAUGAAAAUGAUAUUCGCAACAUACCCCUGAUGGGUCCCCCUGGAUUACCUGGACCUUCAGGGGCCCCUGGACUGCCUGGUACCAAAGGUGAACUUGGUCUGCCAGGUCCUCCAGGACUGGACGGAGAUAAGGGGCCCAGGGGGAAGCCUGGAGAGCCCGGUCCUGUAGGCCCAGCCGGUCCUGAAGGUCCCAGAGGGGCGGGUGGUGUCAUGGGUUUCUCUGGACCCAAAGGGGACAAGGGAGACAUGGGUCUAUCUGGAUCACCUGGUUUAGAUGGCCCUACGGGUGAAAAGGGGGCUACAGGGGCCCAAAGCCCGAUCGGAUUACCUGGCUCAAUGGGUCCUAAAGGUGAACCUGGAGAAGGACGGUCAGAAAUGGUCUAUGGACCUCCAGGGCCCCCAGGACCUUCAGGACCAGUUGGCCCAGCAGGAUCUCAAGGAUUUUCAGGGCCUAAGGGAGAACCAGGCAUAGGCAUUAGAGGAGAGAAGGGAGCGUCGGGUCAGAAGGGCGACAAGGGCGACAGAGGCCAUCUCGGACUCCCUGGGGCUCAUGGGUUAGACGGCAGACCGGGUCCAGUGGGUCUAAUAGGACCAUCAGGUGUGUCAGGGCCAGCAGGACCAAAGGGGGAGAGAGGUGAAAAGGCAGAUGCAGGAUUGCCAGGACCAAGUGGGCCUCAAGGCAUCCCUGGUUUAGUUGGACCACAAGGACUCAAAGGGAACCGGGGAGAGAGGGGCAAGAAAGGCAACAGGGGGGCCAAAGGGGAUAAGGGAGACCAAGGAGCACCUGGAUUAGAUGCCCCCUGUCCGUUGGGUUUCCGAGGCUUUAAAGGGGAGAAAGGUGAACCGGGCUUGCCAGGCCUGGACGGGCUGGAUGCCCCUUGCCCUGUGGUAUGGUGCUCUUUUUUCCCUUCACUUACCCCAGCAUGCCUCUAGCUAUCCCUAACCAAACCCCUGACUAUGGCCACUCACAUGUUGCACUGUAAAUUUAAAAAAAUGCAUGUUUGCAUCGACAUUCAUAUCUACUUCUUGUAGUUGACUCACCUUAUAACAAGCCAAAACCUUUCCAACUGAUCUCCUGUAGAACUAAAGUAAAGAAGCCUUUCCUUCUGAUACCAAAUAAUCAUUGAACUCAACCUUUCCAUCACAACUACUUCAGCUUUCUAUGUUAACUUCACAUGCAGAUAUAUGAUUGUGACUAAUAUCAGCAAACACAUAACCAGAUAUAAUCUUUAAUGUAAAGCCUUGACAUUGUCGUUAAAGUAUGCUAGAGCCUUUCUUCAUAAUACCUUGUUUCUUACACUGUCUCUUGCAUGGAGCACCAAUUUUCUCCAUCUUCAAGGCAGCAUAAUACCACAGGUGGUGAGAAGCAGUAAGGAACUAGAUUCAUUGUUCAGAGCAAGUCAGAGUCCUGGUAUUAGCAUGUGAAUUAUCAUCUUUGCAGCACAUAAUUUGUUUAGUUUUUAUUUCUAGUGUAGACUUUUAGCUGAACAAAGCCAGCCCGCAAGUAUAGUAAGACAACUCAUUGCCAUGGUUCCUGCUUUUGAUCCACUUUUCUUCAGCCUGAAUUGGGGAUGACUUUAUAGCAUUCCAUUUGGACACUGCUCAGAAGGUGAUACUAAAUGCAAGAUCCAGGUAUUAUCAGGAGUUACUGGCACUGCUGAGGAUUGUGAGCGGUAAAGCAGACGGGUUGUCGCAUCAUAAACAGGACAACUACAACAAACUAAAUGUUAGUCUAACUGUUAUUCACGUUGCGGGACUUUCGGAGAUAACAUGCAUCUUGUUAUGCACAGAAUGUCAAUCCUCAGGACAUCUCCAAAACAACUGAGUUUACAAUAUGUAGUCUGGCUUUGCAAAGCUAAUUGAUGCCAGGUGGUUAGAUUUGGUAUUGGAAGGUAUCUUAAUAAAUAUGUUAAUGGAGAAACGGAUCGAGAAAAUAGAUCUCUUUAAUAUCUGAAUUGCAGCUUCACAGGUAAGGCUGUGUUUUACACAUCAACAUGUCUUUGUAAAUGUAAGCGAUAAUCCUCGGCAUUAUUACUGAACUAAAUGAAAUCAUGUAGCAAAAUAUUGGUAGACUCUAUUGCACACAACUGGCAGCCUGUUAUUGACUGGAAAUGUCAUUUGAAGGCACCAUUCAUUUAUUUAGAAACUGUAAACUUUCAGGUAGCACAGGAACAACAGCACCGUCCCCCUGCUGGGUGCCAUACAGUAGCAAAAUGUACUGACAAACCCAACAAUGUAUAGUAUAUCUAAAUACAGAGACUGCUAAUGUGUUUGGUUAUGAUCUCAUUUGUUUUUUUGUAUUUAUACUCAAAUGUGGUACUCUAUGGAGUUGGGGAGUUUGGGGAUCCUCUGGUGUGGAAGUCAUUUGAACAACUGGAGAGGUUUCUUUUGAUGAUAACCUUCAUGUUCCUUAACAUAGAUCUGUGAAAUCAAGUUUUUACUCUCUAGACAGUUUGUGGUGACAAAUGGCUCUAAAUGUCACAUUACACAUGACUGAAGAGGCUAGUCAGCAGCUCAAACUAGAGCUGUAGCAAAUGUAUAACUCUUUGUCAUUGGAAUUAGGAUCCAUAAUCAUCCUAAAUUGGCCUGAAAGAAAAUUGAUUUACACUGAUACAUGUGUAAUGUGGUUGUUACAAAUUGCUACUUUCAUCUGUUAGUAGAGGAUGAUACACAUUGUUCAUUUUGUCAACAAAAACUAUCACCGAACACAUUUCUUUUUAUAACAAAAACAAGAGUAAAACUACCUUAAAAGUAACCAAUGAAAAUGAAAUGAGUCCUGAAACCAGGAAAUGAGUCAGCAUUUUUGCACUUGCGGUUCCCUCGUCUCAGAAUGAAUGUAUUAUCUGAAUGUUAUUCGUUAGACGUCAGAAAUAACUAUGUCUCUUCACAAGCUGAAGAGAUUUUAACAUUUUGUUUUAAGACAUAAAAUACUUGAGAAGAAACUCUUCUCAGGAUAUUUUCUUAUUAAGCGAAGUGUAACAAGCUUCAUUAGUUUGCACAACCCUGUUGUACAAUGACAGUAAAUGACACCUUGAACCUUGAAACCAAAAGUAUUAUGCAGCAAAAGAACUAUUAAUUCUAGAACUCUGGAUGGCCAUAAUAAUGACUAUUACCACUUUUCUACCUAAUAAAGACAAACAAAAUGUCCGUUUAUAAUUGUAAGCUGCUUUUGUGUGCGUUGUGGCUUCAGGCAUGAUAAUACUGUUGAUCUCUGCUGCGUACAUUAUUUUCCACUUGACACAUUGUUUGUCUUUGUUCAGGGAGACGAUGGCUUGCCUGUACCAGGAUGUUGGAAUAAAUGACGAUAACUUUGGAAUGGCUUGUGUGAUUGUACAUAGGAUAUUUAUUUUUUUACAUUUUCCCAAUUCUGUUAUACGUGGGGGAAAAAAUUAAAUCCUAAAAAAUAUAUGGCAGCAUUUUUGUACAGAUGUUUUAUUUUACUACGUAUGACAGUGUCUAUGUAUUGGAUUUUUAUAUCUAUGCAUUAUUGUAGUGUUGGAUUGGAUAAGUAAAACAUAUUAUGCAUGCUAUUUGUGCAUAAUGUGAAGUGGAUAUUGCUUAUUAACUUAUUGUAUUAUCUUGUGUUGUAAUAGACCAUGCUGCACUGAGUUGUGGGGCUGGAAAGAUUAUGUGUUGGCAUUUGGGAUCUGAGCUGAACUCUCCUCUUGUGAUGAGGUGUUGACAAAAUGACAUGGACAAGCAUUGCAUAUACACCAGUUGCCAUUUGACUAAAUGUUCACACAGUGACAGAAAGCUAAUAAAAGUGUGCACUUUGAAUGUCUGGUCAUAUGCUCAUAUUGUAAUGAUGAACAUGCAGGGCUGUCACCAUAAUAAUAGAUGUUUCUGUCUGGUAAUGGUGUAAUCUGGUAAUGAUGUUCCUUUAGGAGCUGACAGCUGUGCAGAACAUAAUAACUACAUUUUGAAGUAAUAAAAAAUGAUAAUGCCAACCUGAUUAUAAUGCAAUUAAAAUGCUGACCAACUAAAACAGUUUUUGUAUUAUACAUUUUGUGUAUAAUUAACUAUAAUUUGUAUGGUGUCAGAGAUAGCUAUGUCGAUUAAUUAUGCUGUUAGCUAAAUAGUUCAAAUGAGGUAUAAAAAUAUAUAUAAAGCUUUGUACUUUUUCUUUCACUUCCAAUCAGAAUAAUAGGUGAGGGAACAAAACAAAAACACAUUUAUAUAUUUCUUCUUUCUUUUGUCUUUUCCUGCCUUUUGUAGUUUGUCAGUAUUCAACACCAUGAUUUCAUUGGCAUUUUUUAAAUAAAAAAUGUAAUAACGUAGAUUCAAUAUUUCCCUAAAUGAAAUUGAUUAUAUGCAUUCACAGUGUUUCUUGGGCAUUUCAAUAUGUGCCAUAGCAAGGACAAAGGCAGAAUAUAUCAGCUUAUUGAUGAUAUAUCUAUCUGUGUAGGUCAGCUGAUUAUUAACAAGAGAUUGCAGUACAUAAAUACCAAACUAGGUUUUAGGUCAUUUAGAAACGGCAUUACAAACUUUGUGGAACAGGGAGCACCAGUGUGUUUAUUUAGUCACACUGUAAAAUGCCCCACUCAGUACCCUUGUCACCAUCAUUUAUUUUUUUGUCUACAGGAUCAGUUUUCAGAUUAGUUUGGGAUUAGCCUUAUGUUGAAAAUAUAAACAUCCAUCCAUCCAUUUCCCUCCGCUUAUCCGGGGUCGGGUCGCGGUGGCAGCAGGCCAAGCAC